rnacentral:rRNA from 1 species
AGUGAACGCUGGCGGCAGGCCUAACACAUGCCAGUCGAACGGCAGCACCGUGAGAGCUUGCUCAUACGGGUGGAGCGUGGGGGAAGGGUGAGUAAUACUUCGGAAUCUACUUUUUAGGGGGGGCUAACGCAGGGAAACUUACGCUAAUACCGCAUACGACCUACGGGUGUAAGCAGGGGAUCUUAAGACCGUGCGCGAUUGGAUGAGCCGAUGUCGGAUUAGCUCGAUGGCAGGGGAAAGGCGUACCAAGGCGACGAUCCGUAGCUGGUCUGAGAGGAUGAUCAGCCACACUGGGACUGAGACACGGUCCAGAAUACUACGGGAGGCAGCAGUGGGGAAUAUUGGACAAUGGGCGAAAGGCUGAUGCAGCAAUGCCGCGUGAGUGAUGAAGGCCUUAGGGUUGUACAGCUCUUUUACCCGCGAUGAUAAUGACAGUACCGGGAGAAUAAGCUCCGGCUAACUCCGUG